rnacentral:rRNA from 1 species
GGCAGAGCAAACACAUGCAGUCGAGCGGAGAUGAGGUGCUUGCACCUUAUCUUAGCGGCGGACGGGUGAGUAAUGCUUAGGAAUCUGCCUAUUAGUGGGGGACAACAUUCCGAAAGGAAUGCUAAUACCGCAUACGUCCUACGGGAGAAAGCAGGGGAUCUUCGGACCUUGCGCUAAUAGAUGAGCCUAAGUCGGAUUAGCUAGUUGGUGGGGUAAAGGCCUACCAAGGCGACGAUCUGUAGCGGGUCUGAGAGGAUGAUCCGCCACACUGGGACUGAGACACGGCCCAGACUCCUACGGGAGGCAGCAGUGGGGAAUAUUGGACAAUGGGGGGAACCCUGAUCCAGCCAUGCCGCGUGUGUGAAGAAGGCCUAUGGUUGUAAGCACUUUAAGCGAGGAGGAGGCUACUGAGACUAAUACUCUUGGAUAGUGGACGUUACUCGCAGAAUAAGCCCCCGCUAACUCUGUGCCAGCAGCCGCGGUAUACAGAGGGUGC